rnacentral:rRNA from 1 species
UACAGAGGGUGCAAGCGUUAAUCGGAUUUACUGGGCGUAAAGCGUGCGUAGGCGGUUUGUUAAGUCGGGUGUGAAAUCCCUGGGCUCAACCUGGGAACUGCAUCCGAUACUGGCAGACUAGAGAACGGUAGAGGGAGGCGGAACUCCAGGUGUAGCAGUGAAAUGCGUAGAUAUCUGGAAGAACACCGAUGGCGAAGGCAACCUCCUGGGCCUGUUCUGACGCUGAGGCACGAAAGCGUGGGGAGCGAACGGG